rfam:Oryza nivara chromosome 1, whole genome shotgun sequence.
AUUAAGUGCAAUCAUAACUUUCCGUACCCAACUUUGAUCGUCCGUCUUAUUUAAAUUUUUUUAUAAUUAGUAUCUUUGUUGUUAUGCGAUGGUAAAACAUGAAUAGUACUCUACUUGUGACUUAUGUUUUUUUUUUCAAAUAAGACGGACAGUUAAAGUUGGGAGCGGAAAACCAUGGCUGCACUUAAA